rnacentral:rRNA from 1 species
AUGCUCCUCCUCUUCGCGCUCCUCGCCGGCGCCGGCGCCGCCGCCUUCCUCCUCUUCAAGUUCGCCACCGCCGACGGAGAUUUCACCCUCUUGUCGUGCGGCCGGGCGCGGCGGGACAAAGUGGACGGCAAGGUUGUAUGGAUCACGGGAGCGAGCCGUGGGAUUGGGGAGGUUCUUUCGAUGCAGUUUGCGAGUUUAGGAGCAAAGCUCAUACUAUCUGCACGUAACAAGGAGGAGCUUGAGAGAGUGAAACGUAACAUCAUCAGCAAGCAUCCAGAUAGCAAAGUUGAAGUGUUACCUAUGGAUUUAUCAUCUGAUGAAGAAUCUCUGAAAGAAGUUGUACAUUCAGCGGAAUCACUCUUUUCCAGUGCAGGCAUUGACUAUAUGAUGCACAAUGCGGCCUUUGAGCGUCCAAAAAGGGGGGCCCUGGAAGAAACUGAGGAAGGUCUUAAGGCUACUUUUCAUGUCAAUGUCUUUGGAACAAUUACUUUGACUCGCCUUCUUGCACCUUUCAUGUUGGAUAGAGGGAUGGGUCAUUUUGUUGUGAUGAGUAGUGCAGCUGGAAAGGUGCCCACACCUGGUCAGGCUCUUUACUCUGCUUCCAAACAUGCUCUCAAUGGCUACUUUGCUUCUCUGCGCUCUGAGUUAUGUACGAAAGGCAUUAAGGUCACUGUUGUCUGUCCUGGACCUAUUGAAACACCAGUACCUUCUGGUGCAACUUCUUCAUCACAAAGGCAUUCAUCCGAGAAACGUGUUUCAGUGGAAAGAUGUGCUGAACUGACAAUAGUUGCCGCAACUCAUGGACUAAAAGAAGCAUGGAUAUCAUAUCAGCCUGUGCUGGCUGUUAUGUACGUGGUGCAAUACAUGCCAACAAUUGGAUGGUGGCUUAUGGACAAGGUUGGUGCGAAGCGAGUGGAUGCUGCUGCAAAGAAGGGCAACGCCUACAGUUGGAAUCUCCUCUUCGGUGGCAAAAAGUCGGCUUGA